GACGAACGCUGGCGGCGUGCUUAAUACAUGCAAGUCGAGCGGACAGGCCCUGCUUUUGUUGGUUGCACGAGUGGCGAACGGGUGAGUAUCACGUGUGUAUACUGCACUUGUCUUUGGGAUAACUUCAGGAGACAGGGGCUCAUAUCGGGUAGGAGCUACUGCUGCAUGGGGUGCGUUGGUAAGUUUCGGCCGUUUGGGAUAGACUCGCGGCUUAUGAGCUUCUUGGGGGAGUAGUGGAUUACCAAGGGUGUGACGGCUAGGCGACCUUGGAGGGGUAACGGCGUCAUGGGGACUGAGAGACGGAGCAGACGCCUACGUGAGGCAGCAGGGGGGAAUAUGGCAGAAUGGGCGGAAGCCAGAGACAGCAGCGCUGCGUGCGUGAUGACGUGCUUCGGGGUGUAAACCGCUUUCGCCGGAGACGAAGAGUGAGUGACGGUAAUUGAUAAAGAAGCAACGGCUAACUACGUG
rnacentral:rRNA from 1 species